rfam:Trichomonas vaginalis G3, whole genome shotgun sequence.
UGAAGCGAAAAAUAGUUUACUGUGUCACUCGUACCGAUAACCCGCAUCAGGUCUUCUAGGUAAGUAGCCUAUGGCCAUUGAGGCAUGAUAGUUCAGGGAAUUCGGCCAAUUAGAGCUGUAACUUCGGGAUAAAGCUUGGCUCUGAUGAAAAUCAGAACCGAUUGUUACGCGGAGAGCCCAACUGUUUAAUAAAAACGUAGUGUCGCGCUGUGGUAGUAUAGCCAGUGAACGCGACAUGAAUCCUGCUCAGUGCUGUGUCUGUUAAUAUGGUUCAAGCCAACGAAGCACCGGUAAAUAGCUGGGGUAACUAUGACUCUUAUCAAAGUAGCGAAAUACCUCGUCACUUAAUUAGUGACCUGCAUGAACGGAGCUAUGAGGUUCUCACUGUCCCAAACUGUCUCUCAGCGAACCAACUGUAGUGGGAACGGUCACUAGAUAUCCAGCGGGGAAAGAAGACCCUGUAGAGCUUCACUUUGGUCUAGUCUUGUAUAGUUCCUGCGGGGGUGUAGACUAGGUGGGAGAGCAAUCGAUUCUGAAAAACCACUACCCUGUUUGGAAUUAUGCUUACCUAUCACAAGGAAUAGGACUAGAUAGAAAGUUUGGCUGGGGCGGCACACCUUCGAAAGAGCAGCGAAGGUGUCCUAAGUUGAGCUCAGUGAGGACAGAAAUCUCACGUUGAGGAUAAGGCCAAAAGCUCAAUUUACUGUGCCUUUUUGUACUAGGAUCAGUUACGAAAGUAAGGCCUAACGAUCCCUAAAUAGCCUCAGGUGCGUGAGGAUUGGGGUGACAGACAAGUUACCUCCGGGACAACUGGCUUGUGGCUGCUAAGAGAUCAAAUCAACGCAGCUUUUUGAUUCUUCGAUGUCGGCUCUUCCUAUCCUAGUGAUGUACAAGUUGCUAAGGGUCGGAUUGUUCACCCGUAUUAGGGAUCGUGAGCUGGGUUUAGACCGUCGUGAGCCAGGUUUGUUUUAUCCUACUGGAUAUAGCAUCAUGAUAGUAGAUGA